AUGGGCAUUAUGGUUGGCAAGACGGAGAAAGUGGAUAUGGCCUUUACUCGUGCACAUGGAGUGGCCCGCAUCUUAGUGAGCGUUUUGGAUAUUGAGUUCGUGCCUGACGUGGUUAACUGGACUUAUAGAGGAGAGGUGUUUCCUCUUGAGAUCGAGUUUGAGGACGCCGCCCUGUUUGCUGAGGCAAUGAUUGGGAAGGAUGUUGACAUGCACGAGGGGGACGACAGUGCGGGAGCUGAGGGGGCACCGACUGACGAGUCGACUCGUGAGGGGACUAACGGCUCUCAUCCUGUGGCUCAGACCGGGGAUGGGACCGGGGUUGAGCCGGCACCUUCACCAUCGGUGCCUAUGACUCCGUUGCGGUUCGGGUCCUUUGAGCCAGCCUCUGCCCCUCCCAGACUUUGGAGUGACCGGGUAGAUUCUGAUGAUGCAUUUGAGCAGUCACUACCUUUGUUGGAGUUCGAGGAUGCCGGUGGGGCACUGGCUGGAUGCUUGGUGCGGACAUCGUCGGUGAGGACUUUGGUUGGCUCCGGGGACGGGGAGUCGGUGGUUGCUCCACCGGAGGUCGACGUUCCGGACAUAACGGCUGCGGCUGAGGUGGGGCGUGGGGGAGGGGGGUCGGGGCAGGUGGCUCCCACUUCCCCCUUCACUAUCCCGACAUCGGCAUCGCUGGUCAUGACGGGACCGGCGGGUACUGGGAGAGGAGGCCCGAGGCAGGCGGCCUCGGCUCUCUCUCCUUCGGGCGUGGCGGCGGCAGCCGCGCCUUCUGUGGAGUUGGGGAGGGGGGUUUGGGGCAGGCGGCCCUGA
rnacentral:rRNA from 1 species